rnacentral:rRNA from 1 species
AUUGAACGCUGGCGGCAGGCCUAACACAUGCAAGUCGGACGGUAGCACAGAAGAGCUUGCUCUUCGGGUGACGAGUGGCGGACGGGUGAGUAAUGUCUGGGAAACUGCCUGAUGGAGGGGGAUAACUACUGGAAACGGUAGCUAAUACCGCAUAACGUCGCAAGACCAAAGAGGGGGACCUUCGGGCCUCUUGCCAUCAGAUGUGCCCAGAUGGGAUUAGCUAGUAGGUGGGGUAACGGCUCACCUAGGCGACGAUCCCUAGCUGGUCUGAGAGGAUGACCAGCCACACUGGAACUGAGACACGGUCCAGACUCCUACGGGAGGCAGCAGUGGGGAAUAUUGCACAAUGGGCGCAAGCCUGAUGCAGCCAUGCCGCGUGUAUGAAGAAGGCCUUCGGGUUGUAAAGUACUUUCAGCGGGGAGGAAGGUGUUGUGGUUAAUAACCACAGCAAUUGACGUUACCCGCAGAAGAAGCACCGGCUAACUCCGUGCCAGCCGCCGCCGUAACAC